rnacentral:rRNA from 1 species
AUGGGCGGGAGCGGCUGCUCCAUGGAUGAACCUUCCUCCGGGAAGGUCGAGGUGGCCCUCGUGAGAAGGUCAGUGUGGCUGGCUAGGACGGCGCGGGGAGAGGGGGAUCCCGGCCAGCGGGGUGAUGCGGUAGCCCACAUCAGCUCCGAUGAGGAAGAAGGGCAUGCAUGGAGAAGAGGCACCUGGGCAGGCGAGCUCCGAGGAAGAACGCGGGGGGUAGCCGUGGUGAAUGAGAAGAGGAAGGAUAAGAGGAAGGUUGAGGGCGGGAGGAGGCUCACCGGAGGGGAGAAGUGUGGGGUUGACCAGAGGGGAGGGACGGGGAGAGCAGUGGCGGCGGACGCGGGGGUUCCGGGGAGGGCGCGCGGCGGCGGGGUCUCCGGGGAGGGGCGCAGCGGCGUGGGGAUCGGGGGGGAGGGGGGCGCGAAAGCAGCGAGGGGAUCGGGGGAGGUGAGGGAGUCCUGUACUAAGGGGUCCUCGGGCGUCCGACCUGUUAGCUAUGGGCCGGACUGA